UACGUAGGGGGCGAGCGUUGUCCGGAUUCAUUGGGCGUAAAGAGCUCGUAGGCGGUUCGAUAAGUCAGGUGUAAAAACUCCAGGCUCAACUUGGAGAGGCCACCUGAUACUGUCGUGACUAGAGUCCGGUAGAGGAGCAUGGAAUUCCUGGUGUAGCGGUGAAAUGCGCAGAUAUCAGGAGGAACACCAGCGGCGAAGGCGGUGCUCUGGGCCGGAACUGACGCUGAGGAGCGAAAGCGUGGGGAGCGAACAGG
rnacentral:rRNA from 1 species